rnacentral:tRNA from 1 species
AGCAACCUGGUAGCUCGUAAGGCCCAUAACCUUGAGGUCACGGGUUCAAAUAUCGUCUCCGGAA